UCUAUGUGAAACAUGUUCACUUCUUCUCCCUGAAGGUUUUUAAUCAGGGAAGCGUCGUAGGCUGGCCUGUGCAUUAGGAAGCUUAUUUGGACCACUUUAGGAUGAAUAAAUGACUACCAAUUCAUUGGCAGAGGUAGAGUGAUUGUAAGGGAAGGAACAUUGGAUUUGGAAUAAGAAGACUUAAAAGUGUCAUUCAUUCCACUCAUUACUAGUCAGUCAGUCUCUCUCUCAGGGGGUGGGGGAAAAUGGGGGGGAGGGAACAGAGAUGAUGAAAAUCAUUGUUAGGGCUGUGAUGGAAGAAGCACUGCAUGAUAUUAAGAGUUUUGGGGUUUGUUUUGUUUUGUGCUCUGAGUCCCAGCUGAUGGAAGAAGCACUCCAUGUUAUUAAGAGUUUGGGGGUUUGUUUUGUGCUCUGAGUCCCAGCCUACCUCCUGAGCUGCAGCUAGUCUGAGGACCUGGGUCUGAAUGCUCAUUUGAAACACUCAUGUGACCUCUGUGCCUCAGUUUCCUCAUUUGCAAAACCAGGGAAUUGGAUUAGCUCAUCUCUAAAGGCCUUAAAUCCAUGAUCCUAUGAUAAGAGAAGGGCAGAGCCUGUAGCACAAACUUGGAACCAACAUCCAGAGUUCCCUCAUGAAUGUCCCAAUUGCAUUUCACAGAAAUCUCAUAUAAUCCUCUGGAACUCUUUCCCAGUUCCAAUUAUGUCCAGCAGGUGGCGUCCACCUUCUCUGCUGUUCCCGGCCGCCGGCUCUGAGGCCCAGAAGGCCGGGACGUAAAUAGUACGUGGGCCCGGGGCGUUCAACAGAGCGAACGUGGGCUCGGGGCGUUCCAUAGACUGUACGUGGGCCCGGGGCGUCCCACAGAGCGAACGCGGGCCCGGGGCGUCCCACAGAGCGAACGCGGGCUCGGGGCGUUCCAUAGACAGUGCGUGGGCCCGGGGCGUCCCACGGACCGAACGUGGGCCCGGGGCGUUCCAUAGACUGUACGUGGGCCCGGGACGUCACGGACAGUGCGCGGGCCACGGACAGUGCGCGGGCCCGGGGCGUCCCACGGACCGUGCGUGGGCCACUGACAGUGCGCGGGCCACGGACAGUGCGCGGGCCCGGGGCGUCCCACGGACCGUGCGCGGGCCCGGGACGAUGCGCGGGCCGGACGUCCACA
rnacentral:lncRNA from 1 species